rnacentral:rRNA from 1 species
UACGGGGAGUGCAAGCGUUGUUCGGAAUUAUUGGGCGUAAAGCGCGUGUAGGCGGCCUGUUUAGUCUGGAGUGAAAGCCCUCGGCCCAACCGAGGAAGUGCUUUGGAUACUGGCAGGCUUGAGUCCUGGAGGGGCGAGUGGAAUUCCCAGUGUAGAGGUGAAAUUCGUAGAUAUUGGGAGGAACACCAGUGGCGAAGGCGGCUCGCUGGACAGAGACUGACGCUGAGACGCGAAAGCGUGGGGAGCAAACAGG